GGGAAUGCAGCUCAAAAUGGGUGGUAAACUCCAUCUAAAGCUAAAUAUUGGCGAGAGACCGAUAGCGAACAAGUACCGUGAGGGAAAGAUGAAAAGCACUUUGGAAAGAGAGUUAAACAGUACGUGAAAUUGCUGAAAGGGAAACGCUUGAAGUCAGUCGCGUUUGCUAGGACUCAGCCUUGCCUCGGCUUGGUGCAUUUCCUAGUAGACGGGCCAGCAUCACUUUUGACUGCGGGAGAAAGGUUGGAGGAAUGUGGCACCUUCGGGUGUGUUAUAGCCUCUAGCUGUAUGCCGUGGUUGGGAGUGAGGAACUCAGCACGCCGCAAGGCGGGGCUUCGGCCACCUUCGUGCUUAGGAUGCUGGCGUAAUGGCUUUAAACGACCCGUCUUGAAACACGGACCAAGGAGUCUAACAUGCCUGCGAGUGUUUGGGUGGAAAACCCGAGCGCGUAAUGAAAGUGAAAGUUGGGACCUCUGUCGUGGAGGGCACCGACGCCCGGACCAGACCUUCUGUGACGGAUCCGCGGUAGAGCAUGUAUGUUGGGACCCGAAAGAUGGUGAACUAUGCCUGAAUAGGGUGAACCAGAGGAAACUCUGGUGGAGGCUCGNAGGGCNCUCUGCAAAUCGAUCGUC
rnacentral:rRNA from 1 species